rnacentral:rRNA from 1 species
GACGAACGCUGGCGGCGUGCCUAACACAUGCAAGUCGAACGAGAUCCAUGGGAGCUUGCUCCCGGAAGAUCUAGUGGCGAACGGGUGAGUAACACGUGAGAAACCUGCCCUGGAGUGGGGAAUAACUCGGGGAAACUCGAGCUAAUACCGCAUACCCUCAGUUGGUCGCAUGGCCGACUGAGGAAAGAAUUUCGCUCUAGGAGGGUCUCGCGGCCUAUCAGCUAGUUGGUGGGGUAACGGCCCACCAAGGCUACGACGGGUAGCUGGUUUGAGAGAACGAUCAGCCACACUGGGACUGAGACACGGCCCAGACUCCUACGGGUGGCUG